GUUUUAAUAGUUUAAACAAAAACAAUGAUUUUGUAAAUCAUAAAUAGGAAUAUACCUUUAAAACU
rnacentral:tRNA from 1 species